rnacentral:rRNA from 1 species
GACGAACCGUGCGAACGUUGUUCGGAAUCACUGGGUUUAAAGGGCGCGUAGGCGGGCUGUCAAGUCGGUGGUGAAAUCGUUCCGCUCAACGGGACAAUGGCCUUCGAUACUGGCGGUCUGGAGGGAGGUAGGGGCAUGCGGAACUUCCGGUGGAGCGGUGAAAUGUGUAGAUAUCGGAAGGAACACCGAUGGCGAAAGCAGCGUGCUGGACCUUUUCUGACGCUGAGGCGCGAAAGCCAGGGGAGCAAACGGG